AACGCUCUUACCGCUGUGAGCACUGAACCAGCGGGGAGCGAUGUGCAGGGGUAAGGUGUCAGCCAGCGACCCCCGGGACCCCAAAUAGAGCACCCCGUCUGCGUGAUGCCGUCCGCCGCCACCGUCCUGAUAGCCUGUUCCGUGAGAGGCGGCAGGAGUGCCCCCUGACCCUCCUCCGGCUCGAUCUGAGUCCGUGCCUCUCGGAGUGUAAAAGCCGAAGGGCACCGUGGGUGUUUGCUCGAUAGCCAUCGCGGCCACGGAGCUCACCGAGCGGCUCCGCAGGCCCAUGGUGCCGCCCGACCGGUAGUGGCCGAAGUGGGCCGACGGCGGUACCGCGCUGUCAUCCGUAGAAACGCCGGGAAAAGCACCGCGGGACCGCCCCGCCGUGCUCUGUUUCCCCCCCAUCCGACAAACGGGGGUUGUUGGUCGAAUAGGAGGGGGCUCGACUCGAUCCGCAAAGGGUCGAGGGAGCCGUAACAGGCUGUCGCCCCCUCCUCUCGCUUCUGUCUGCCUCUCGAGGCGCCUGUCUGCUAUUCCUUGCGCUCGCUGUGCGUGUCCGACUCCGCAAGAUCGUCAGCUAUGACUGCGUGCAGACGCAACAGCUCGUGUCCCCGCUGAGCGGAUCAUCGGCCAGCCCGGGCGUCUGGAUUCAGCUCUCCCGCAGACAGACCUCGACGGAACCGGGACGAGGCAGACACGCUAAAUGACGCAGAGAUCCCAGGAUGACACGCGCACGCAGACGGACACACGUACGAGGCUCCCCUGCUUGUCCCAGAUGCUCUUCUGAAAUAUUUUCCUUCCACCUCUGUACAUCCCGGGGCAUUUCUACAGCCAACUUAUCCACAUUAGCACCAAGUCCAGUACCUUCCUGCACACAAACUGCCAGUGGAGAAAGAAGUCUUCCUCAGUGCAGCCUGCCAGUGCAAUAAGCCAAACUGUCUCCUCCACUCAUCCCAAUUUUAAUUUAUUUUAUUUAUUUAUGUUUUUUUUUUAAAGUGUUUUUGAUUGGUGUUUUUUAAUAGUUAGUAGAGCAUUUUUCUUUUAAUUUCUGCACUUGUUCGUUGUUGUUUUUUUAAAAUAAAUUACAGAGAUAUUGUU